UACGGAGGGUGCAAGCGUUAUCCGGAUUCACUGGGUUUAAAGGGUGCGUAGGAGGGCAGGGAAGUCAGUGGUGAAAUCUCCGGGCUUAACUCGGAAACUGCCGUUGAUACUCUCUGUCUUGAAUACCGUGGAGGUGAGCGGAAUAUGUCAUGUAGCGGUGAAAUGCUUAGAUAUGACAUAGAACACCAAUUGCGAAGGCAGCUCGCUACACGAAUAUUGACUCUGAGGCACGAAAGCGUGGGGAUCAAACAGGA
rnacentral:rRNA from 1 species